rnacentral:lncRNA from 1 species
UGAAGGAGGCAGCUCAUCACUUGUGAGCUAUGGGAUUCUGGACCAGUAGCUUAACCUUGUGGAGCUCAGUCUCUUUAUUUGUAAAAUGGGAGACUGGACUAGAUUAGGGGUCUCACCCUUCCCCAUCAGGAAAGGUAAUCAGCCUUUCCUGAUUACCCCAUUUAUUGUUCUACUUCCCUGUCAACACUCCAUCUUUUACUCCCUAGCCAUGACUUUUUAUUGGGCAUAAUUCUUAUUCAGUACUUACAGGUUUACAUUUUAUCAGCAACUGUAGAAUUUCUGUCCUGGCGUGUGUACAUUGCAGAUCAUUCCUUCUGUGGAUAAAUGAAACCUUUUAUUUUAUAGGACACUCUUUUAAGCUAAGAUGUUUUCUUCCCACCUCCCUUUACACAAAUCGGGCACUAUAAGAAAAAGGAGAAGAAAGUCCAUCUGUUUAUUCAAAUCCAAAGAAGGUCUUUCCUUUCUUUCAGUAACCAGAAAUCUGUGCUGUGAACUUUUCAAAUGUGGGACAUUGUUCGAUGUGAUGAAAGAUUGUAAAUUUUCUUCAUGUUAAUUCCUUUCGUUGUUGCCAAGAUGUGGGGUAUUUGAAAGAACUUGAAGCAGCAUUCAUUCAUUUUAAAGCAGUUAAAUAGCUAAGUCAUGGAAACAUUUGAUUUUUUUAAAUUGACAUUCUCUUUGCUCUUUGGUCUCUUGGGAAUCAAAUGCCCCUAAGAGAUGCAGCUCCAUCAUUGCUCAUAAGACUGUAUUUUCUUACUAAUGGGAUCAGAAGCCUGAAGCACUCAUUCAUUUCCUGUUGAAGAGCUACUCUUGGCUUCAUGGAAUCACAGAUUUUGAAGUAUCAUAUGACCAUGGACCCAUAUAUGAAGUCAGGUGAAGAGAAUCAUGUGCUUUUCUGUCAUUAGGUCACAGAGAGAGAUGAGGUAGCUGAGGGCAGGUCCAGCUGGCUGGAGGGAAAAAAAUACCAGAAGUGUUAUCCUGGAAGAGGUCACAGAAAAGAAAACAUGAACAUUGAUUCAGAAGAAGAGAUGAAUGGUUGGGAACCAAGACAGGGUGAAAUCAAGGAUGGCUGAGGAAACAGGUAAGCUGAGAAUGAGAAGUAACUUUCUUGGAGUGAAAAGGUGGAUGAACUCCAGGAAAGGCACUGAUGUCUGUGGUGUUGUCCAUUUGUGUGGGUGGGCCCAGAUCCAAAACAGAAUGUGCAUCAUAUCUGAAGUCUCCACUGUUGUUUUGUUCUAGAAAAUAUACAGCUUUGGCUCUGGUACCAAUUAAAUCCCUACAUUUUGUAACUUUUUUUGCAGUUCACACAAAUCCAUAAACAAAGUUAGGGUUCAAAAUUCCUUGUUUAAGAUAUGGGGGAGUCACAGUUUAUUUCAGUUCUGCUCAGCUUUCCUGUGUAUGUUCUAAAAGAUCCUCAGGUGAUUCAACUUUGACCCAGGUUUGAUAACCACCCUUUUCUAUUACUCAUCAUCUAAGUAUCUAAAUCAGGUAUGAAUGGAUGAGGCUCUGGGUAUAAUCCUUGCUGGGGCACAAUUUUUCUUCAUCUGUGGACAUGUGAAACUAGAAAACAAGUUAUCCAAGACUUCUAGUAUACGAGCCUCUCAUCUGUCCUGUGCAAUCAGCACAACGUCACUGAUAGAAUGGGUCAGUGUCAUGUUCUGUUUGAUGUCUGCGUGGUCCAGGUUCUCUUUGGACUAUAUCAUGACAGAAGUUGGGAAACUUAAUAUAGUCCUGAAAUAAACAGUCAUCUUCACUAGGAAGGUAUUACUCUUGUCAUCAUUCUAUAGAGGGGAAAUAAAGUCCCUAAUCUGUAGCUAGAGUGCUUCUGGGCCAUGGAACCACCCCAUUGUGCCUUGGCCACUCCAGCUCAGAAACCAGAGUGUUGCCAUGGUGGCAGGGACCCAACCGUGAGGGCUGGUUUCAAUACCCAGCAGCUGUUCACUUCAGAAAAAGCAGGAUGGCAGCCCACUUCUGAAUGCGCAUUUUUCAUGAAGUGACAAGUGAGCCAGAUUUUGGAUGAUCCAAGGAAGUUAUGGGUGGCGGAGGAGAUCCAGGAGAGGUUAAUGGAAGAUGUGGGACUGAAUUGAGUCUUGCUAGUCAAAGAUAAUUUGGCUGAAGAAGAGGAUGGCAUUCUGGCAAGAAUAAAGAUGAGGAGAAGGAAUGCGCACCACAUAAUUUGGAACAGAGUCCAGACUGACCUGAAUGGAAAGCAAGCUGCAGAUAGGAAGACUGUGUGCACAUAGAUAAUUGGACAAGAUCCUCAUUUUGCAGGUAUUUGGUUGGUGUCUUAGUCCGUUCAGGCUGCUAUAAGAGAAUACUAUUGAUUGGGUGGCUUAUAAACAAUGAAAUUGUAUUUUUCACAGCUCUGGAGGCU